AUUGAACGCUGGCGGCAGGCCUAACACAUGCAAGUCGAGCGGAUGAAGGGAGCUUGCUCCUGGAUUCAGCGGCGGACGGGUGAGUAAUGCCUAGGAAUCUGCCUGGUAGUGGGGGAUAACGUCCGGAAACGGGCGCUAAUACCGCAUACGUCCUGAUGGAGAAAGUGGGGGAGCUUCGGACCUCACGCUAUCAGAUGAGCCUAGGUCGGUUUAGCUAGUUGGUGGGGUAAAGGCCUACCAAGGCGACGAUCCGUAACUGGUCUGAGAGGAUGAUCAGUCACACUGGAACUGAGACACGGUCCAGACUCCUACGGGAGGCAGCAGUGGGGAAUAUUGGACAAUGGGCGAAAGCCUGAUCCAGCCAUGCCGCGUGUGUGAAGAAGGUCUUCGGAUUGUAAAGCACUUUAAGUUGGGAGGAAGGGCAGUAAGUUAAUACCUUGCUGUUUUGACGUUACCAAAAGAAUAAGCACCGGCUAACUUCGUG
rnacentral:rRNA from 1 species